UUCUUCCCUUACGUUUCCCCUUGUAAUCCUGCAUGUUUCAUAUCUUUAUCUGUCUCACCUUAAAAAUUAUACAUUCGUUGUCUCUAUAGUAUUUACUAGCACUGCUUUUCACUUCUGUGUGAAGCAUGCAAACUGAGCAAAUUGUGCAAAGCAAAGACUUGUGCAAAAGCAAACAGUUGGUUCAAAAAGGUUUACACUGCUCUCAGCAGGAUGAUUUCAGCGCAGUUAUUAUUUUCCUGGUUCAUUUUCUCUUUUCAGUCACUAUCUCACACAAACUAGGACACAAGAGUUUGUCUACUUCUGCUAUUUCAUCAAAUCAACUUUGCAGCUUUUUUAAAAGGGGGUGGCAGAAAUAUAUGAGAGAAUAACAAAUAACCUUUUUUUUUUUGACAGCUUGUGGGGUUUUCACAUGGCUGUACAGCAGGUCCUGACCUAGAGAGCCCUUACGGCAAUACAUCCUACCACAGAAAUUUAUCUUUUGAGAUCUCAGCCAACAUGUUUAUCUGCUUCUUCAGCACGUGCUGUUUGUCAAAUGAAAUACCGAAGAGUUUCUCUUUUCCUGGGCACUUAUCAAUAUAUUCACCAAGUGUAUUACCUGGUGAUUAAUUUCCCUGUCUUGUUGGAGACCUUCCAUUUUAAGACGGUAAUUUUGCAAGGGGCACAAGUGCAAUGCUGUUCCAUAAUUAUGUGUGAAAUUGUGGAGUACACCUGUGCCCAUGGAUGUGGAUUGAAAGAAGGACCUUUUUCCUUCUUAGCACCCACUUACCAGGAGGUUUGAGGGUCUGAAUCCUCUAGGAAGUGCUGCAAUGUGGUUCACAAGCUGUAUCUUUGAGGCUCUUCUCAUUAAAGAACCAUCCCAUGAGCUAUUGUCUACUUCAACCAGAAAGCAGAGUCUGACCUCUCCUACAUCCCAGGCUCCUAUCCAGGAUUUAACAGAGGGUAUUUUUUUUAGGUUUCCUAAUUUCUUCCACUGGUUGUGAACAUCUGAACAAACAUCUGCUGGUGAGGCUGGUGAAAGGGGGAAAUUGCAAGGAAGGCUGGAAGCCAGCUGUCAAUGGUUGGAGACUCCAAAACCAUGUUGCUACAGGAAGAACAGUCAGUCUUUAAAGUGUUUUAUGUUUCUGGUCCUGGCCAUUGCCAGAAGCUGUCACAGUCUGCCAAAGUGGCUGUGUCAUUCUCCUGUUGGGGCUCUGGAAUUUCCGUUUAUACUCCAGAAAGUUAUGGCAACACAUUCCUCAUACAAGAAAGGGCGCUAUCAAUUUAUAGACUACUACUAGAGUUGGAAAAACACAGUGAUUGAAAAGUGCACUGCUCCUUCAACCCCAGAAGGUAUGUACAAGAAAUCAAGAAGCAAUGCCACUCAGAGCUUUAGUUCAGGCUGAGGAUGCAGAGCAUCAGUGUUGAAGGUGACUCUGCUCCUUCUUCACACAAGGCUUUUUCACCUACUUCUUGAGAGACCAGGUGAAUAAAAAGCCACAGUUUAGCAGACGUUGUCCAGACUUAUUCCAAAAUAAAGUAGGGAUCUGGAAGUUAUAAAGUCUGCUGAAGUUAUAGUAGGAGCAAUGGUGAUAUACUGCUAUAAUUUUUAAGCUCAUGGGAAACUCAGACAUAAGGAAGACUCAAGGUGACCAUCUUCUGGUGAAAUAGAGUGCAGGCUGGGGGAAAAAAUAUGCUUGUGUAUUUCCUUAUGUAGCAGCAUCCUCUGCACGACCUUGACAAAAGCUUUGCGUCAUUUUCUGGAUCUUGAAAUACAUAUCAUUUAAUGAAAGUCACUUGGAAAGAUGAAGAGUAAUGGAAACAAGUCACUCUUGGGGAGAUUCCACUAGUCACAAGAGGAAAAAUUUUCACAGUGAGAACAAUAAGCCACUAGAAUAAUCUCUCCAGAGAGUGGUGACUUCCCAGUGUUGGAUUAUUUUAAGACUCAACUGGUCAAGAUGCUAGGCCAUCUAGUGAAGGUCAUACUUUGCCUAGAAAGGUUGGACCAGGUGAUCCCUGAGGUCCUUUCCAAACUGGGAUACUAGGAUUUUAUGAAAGGCUUCACUAAUUCAGCUGAAAAUAAUGGCUGCACUCUAUUUUCACUUCACUUUCAUUAUCAGUAUAGUUAAGUGUUGUAAAAGGUCAAAGAUUCAGUCCUUUAUUCAACUCCCAAAUGAUGUAUUUUCUGCCACUCCAAAAUGAACUAUCAUUUCAAUUCAACUUGCAAUAAUUUUUGUUCUGAAAACGCUGGGGACCAAACAAAAACCUGAAAAAACAAAGUAUCAAUAGAGUUUUAUGGUUGUGUUUCCAUUCUUCAAAAUAUUUGUUAUAUUUUAGCUGUUCCCCAUGAAGACCAGAUAGAGGAUCUUGUAGUGUCAUGUGCUCUUAUACUAGUCAAUGUCUGUAUGUUGUAUCAUAACUUCCUUCCCUUCAGACCAUGACCUGAGUAGAAAUAAUGAGGAAAGUCCUUAGGACAGCCUCGGGAGCUAAACGUAGAUGUACCAAAACAGUUUCAGAAGGCAGAGGAGGUGAUAGAUCAGGACUGACUAGCAAACAACAGGAAAGGAUGGAGCUGUAUGAAACUUGACCACACGUCAAAGCUUCCCCAUGGGCAGAGGAGUUUGCGUACAUUGUAACUGUUCUGCGCAGAAAGUGAUGGGCUUAUGUGUAUUAAUAGAUUUAAAAAGGUCUUGCUGGAAAAAAACACAUACUUGUGAAAUACAAAUGUAACCUCAACACAACGAUACUGAUCUUGAUGGCCUUCUGGGCCUCUUUCCAUCUGCUGCAUUUCUGCCUCCUAAAUCAGUUUCCCAAGAACACAGUAAAAAAACCCUUUCUCCUUCUCUAAAACUAUCCCUGUCAUGGCUAAGCGAAAAUCUUGCUGUUUGUAUUAAGAUUCCUCAAUGUACUAUGAAACAAGAGGUAUAGUUUCUUUUCUGGACGGGAUCCUUGCUUGCAUUGUCUAAAUGCUUGCCCCCAGAUAACCUCUUGACAGCUGGUUAGCAACAGUUUUAUUAAUAGGACUUAUUUCAGGCUUAGUUAUGUCUGAUUUAUCAUGCGCAGGGUUAUGUCCUUGAUUGAGAUACUAUGGCUUUAUAAAAAAUUCACUGAGAUAUGAAGCUGUGAAUGACCUUAACAGCACCAGUGGGUGCAUGUAUCCCUCCUGGUGUCUCUGGAAAAAAAACAGCUGAAUGUCAUGGUUCAGGCAAAGAGGACAGUAGCAUUAGGGCUACAGCUGAUACCACCAGUGGCCAGGUGAUGAUCCCCUCAAGCCAAGAUUGCUAAAAGACCAAGAAAGCUGGCAUCAUACUUCCAGUUUGUUAUAGAAAAAUGCUUAUUCAGAUGUCUGGUGUCUUUAAAGAACACGUGACAUGGCCCACACUAGGGCAGGACACAAGUGGAAAGAUAUUAGCAGUGAGCAUCAUCAAACACUACUACUGUGAGCCGUGGUGCUGUGGAUGCUUGGCACUCAUAGCAGUGCCUUUGCUUUAAAACCUCAGUUGCCAGCAGGAAAAAUGCCAGGGGAAAAUCAAUUGUUCUGAAGUACCAGUGUAUUUAAAACAAACAAACAAGCAAGCAAACAAACAAACAAAUAAACAAAACCACAAGUCUGCUUCGGAGGAACUGGAGAAUGUAAAGCCAUAUAGGGGAAAGUAAAUUCACUUUAAGACUGUGAAUAGGUUUUGCAGCCUCCAGCUCUGGAUGAUGAUGGCUGCUUUGUUGACCAGGCUCAGUGAAGUGUGGGGUGAUGCUGGUGUGUAGCACUGUAAGUGCCUGGUGCAGGAGUGGGCAUCAGACAUACCCCUGGAGGCAUUCACUCCCUUGGAUGCCUGUUGCAUUAAAGCAGCAGACAGAGGUGCCUCAAAGCAUGGAUAUGGGUCACUGUGGGUACAAUGCACUGAGACUCAUUUGCCCACUGUUUGGUUUAGGCUGAACCUAACCUUACUGCUUGUCUUCUGAAUCCCUCCUGUCUGGGGUCUCCAGAACAGUUCUCAUGGACACCUCAACCCCCUUGCUCUUGGUACACAGAGAUGACUCUGGUUUUGUAUGCUCACACCACUCUGAGGGAGAUGGGAGGGAAAAUAAAA